GAGUUUUUUCAGUGUAAAAUGAGAUGCGGGAAUGUGAUGAGGUUAUCCGUUUGGCUGGUUGUCGCGCAGCACAAGGACACUAUUUAUUAUGGUCGUUCUUCUGAGUGAGUGUGCAGUGGCAGUGGUGGAACACCUUCAUUUGCCAGCUGUGAAUGAUAAAAAAAGAAGAACGAACAAAAAAUUAUACUACAUUUAUAUAAUAUAAACGAUCAAAUUACAUUGUCAUAGAAAAAAGAAGGAAGGAAAAUGGUUUGGUUGGUUUGGUUGGUGGGAAUGUGUCAGUAAAAAUAAAUUACCUACAUUCUAUAUAUAUAAGAAAACGAAAAGAAAAUGGUCACCAUGUGCCAAAGAAUGCGACGACGUUGGUGGCAGUGUGGAAAAAAAAAAGAA